rnacentral:rRNA from 1 species
UACGUAGGCAGCAAGCGUUGUUCGGAGUACUGGGCGUAAAGGGUGUGUAGGCGGUUGUUUAAGUUUGGUGUGAAAUCUCCCGGCUCAACCGGGAGGGUGCGCCGAAUACUGAAUAACUAGAGUGCGGGAGAGGAAAGUGGAAUUCCUGGUGUAGCGGUGAAAUGCGUAGAUAUCAGGAGGAACACCGGUGGUGUAGACGGCUUUCUGGACCGUAACUGACGCUGAGACACGAAAGCGUGGGUAGCAAACAGG